CCUCGGCCUCCCAGAGUGCUAGGAUUACAGGCGUGAGCCACCACACCCAGCCGGCACAUGUGUUCUUAACAUAGUUCCUGAAAAAUGUGCCUGAGAUGCAGCUGGUUUUAAACUGGGAAUAAUUAAGUAGCAUGAUACUCUCUCCUUACCCACCAAAUGUACUUGAUACGCCCACGGCCCCCACAGAAACAUCACUUCAAAGUGUGUACAAAACUAAAGAGUAUAAUAAACUGAAGAAAGAAAAAUGCUGUUAGGAUUUCUAACUUAAUGCUAAGGCUGAAAGGGCAUCCCUAGGGAAGAGAGGCCUGGAUGGCUGGAUGAAGUGCCCCAUGAGGUCUGCUUGGGAGUGAUAGGACAAGCCUGCUGCUGGGCUACCUGGGAUGGCCAAGGACUAGCAUCACACCUGUGGGAGGCCCCAUAGCCUCACCUUGGAGGAGGCCCAGCCUAGCCUGUUCCAUUAGGAGCUACACAGAUGUUAGCUGUGAGGUGGACCAGGUGAAGCACUCCCUUCUUCCAGACACAGAGGUGUCCCUGGUCUACAGGUGACACAGGUGAGGCUCCCCCUCCCCGGGCACAGAGGUGUCCCUGGUCUAGUGGAUGGGAUACAGAACUCGCCCUAUUUCCUGAUCUGAUGAUUAGAGAAGUUUUCAGAGUUGCUUCUGUCGAAUUUUUGUUUUAAGGUGUGCCAGUGUCUCAUUCCAACCUUUAAGCUGUAAGCUUGACUUUCCCUCCCGCCACUCCUUCCCAAGCACAAAGCUGGGUGGGAGGUCUGUCUCUCUUGAGGCCAGGGUAGCCUUCCCACCCCCACAGCUCUGUCUGAAACCCUUGGUGGAGAAAUGACAAAGUGGCCCUGCAGAUUGCAGCCGGCAUUGGCUGGCUGGCAGAUGCUGUAAUCCUCCUCUUACGGGUGAGCAGGCCCAGGGCCAAGGGCAGCCCAGCUCUUUGGGGAGGGCUGGUCUGUGGUGGUGGCAUCCUCGUUUGGAACAAGAGACCCUCUUCCUGGCUUAGGCCUUCUAGCACCUUUUGCUCCUGGCAGAGUUCCAGGAACAGGGCAGACCCCACAGCAGGGCUUAGGAGAGGCGCUGGGGCCUCUGCCCAGUUCUUCCAUCCAACGGUCUUCCCCUAACAGAGGAGGGAGGGGCCCCAAAUCACCUUUUUUCUUUUAAAUUUCUCAGUGGCUUUGGGUACAAACUGGCUAAUUUCUGGGGGUCUGCUGGGGAAGUAGGAGGGUCCUCGGUGGUCUCACCUCUGGCAUGCACUUAACCAGCCCCACCCUGCCCCACUGGGGAUGGACAGAGGGGCCCAGUGGACACACCAUAGCCAGGUCAGCUCUUCUGGGUAGAGCUCGAGGCAGACGGGCACAGGCAUGGCCUCCAGUGCAGAUCCUCCCCUCUACCUGGGAUGCCUGCCCUCCCAGCCUCACCUCCCCUGCUGCCUCCAGGCCUCCAGCUCCUACCAACGGAAGACAGCUUUUCCUAGGAUGCCUGCUCACAGGGUCACAGGGUCCUGUGCCAGAUCCAUCUCGGAGGGGGCCAUGUGCCUCUGGAGCCACCUAACUCCCUGUAUGUUCCAUCAAUACUUCUGCCUUGUCUCAGAAAAAAAGAAAAUUUGCACUCCUCAGAGAAGAAUAAGGAGUUAUUGGGAAAAAGCCAUGGUAGACCAAGAGCUCAAUCUUCUAUAUCUUUAAGAGUUUGAAGAUACCAGAUAGAAGUUUUCAAGGUUUUAUGUUCAAGGGUUGUCAAUUUUGCUAUCAAUACCUCUUGACUAUUAUGAUUUAAAAGCUGAUCAUCUCAUUUUUGUUUAUCCCCCAAAACCUUGCCAUGCUUCAUUAUUUAAGAUUCCAAAAAAUAAGUUUAAUCUUGGAUUUACUUCAUUAAAGGUUAUAAAAUUUAUUUCAAGAGACUGGAUCUAUUGCUAAUUGUGGCAAUUUUAUUAAGAAAUUAAACAUUCAUUCUUUUAUAAAAAGCACUUGACAAAGGAUAAACCAGGAAUAAAUUAAGAGUCAAAUUAUAUGUCAAGUUAUUGAAUUUAAAACAAUUAAAACCAGCUGAAAAAUUUGGGGGCCUUCUAAUUUCUAAUCUGUUGACUCCUCCCCAAUGGCUGUACUUGUUUGCCUUAAGUUCUAUGAAUAUAAAAAAAAGAAACUGCUGAAAAUAUUCCACACAUUUGAAACUAUUAAGUUAUUUGAUACUUAUUAUCCAAUUUCUAAAUUUUUUUAAAUGUGUAUUUCUAGAUGUGUAAAUGUAUGACAGAAAACCAACACAAAGUAUCAUAAAAUUGGUCAUUUCCCCUCAAAUUAUUAUAUAAGCCUCAACACUUUAGUUACUUCCGUGUAACUCCCCUUCACAGAAACAGCAUCAAUCCAGUGAGCCAGAGUUGAUCCACCCGCACAGGCCCUGCACUGCUCCAGACGUCUUCAACAGUGACAAGAACGUCUCAAACCCUGCUGGGGAGGUUAGCCAUGAAGGCUGGCAAAGAUCCGGCCUCACAGUGCACAUACGUUACUUGCCCAGAAAUAAGAACAAAAUAAUCACUGCCUACACCCGAAGCUUCCAACAGAGGUGGAAGCUCUUGUCUGUCCCCACCCCACUAAACAGGGGCCUGCGUGGCAAUGGUUGAUGUCGUACUACACACAGCAAGUGCUCCAUCAAUUUGAGAAGGAAUAACUGAUCAUCCAGGAACAAAACAUGAUUUGAACAUACUCCCUCUGUAUGAAGAAAGAACACACAGCCUUGUAUAAAAGCCUCUGUUGCGGGCCUACUGUGCACCCCACGUGCCUGCCGUGCCUGCCGUACCCCCAGACUUCCUCAUGGUGCAGUCUGUGCUCCAGGGAGCAACGCAGGACUAAGAUCAGGAGAGGUAAACGCCAGUGGCAUUCAACUCAAGUAAGGCCAUUCCAAUCCAGAGAAUCUUCCUGGUUCUUUUGUGUUUUAAGUCUUUUAUCAUGGAACUGCCUAGAGCACACAAAGGCGGGAGGAGUGGGCUGCUGUGUCCCAUCACCAGCACCAUCCCUGUCUCACCUCAUCAGUGUCUUCCCUGACCCCUACUGGGAAUUCAGUGGAUUUACAAAAUUCUCUGGAUGCCUGCUCCUCAGCAGGUUAAGGGAUCCCUCCCAGAACUUGCCAGAAGCAGCAAUCUCCCCUCACUGAAUGGCAGUUUAGUGAGAGCCACAAGAACUCCUAUGGGGCACAAACUCCCACCUGCUGGUGCUGGCUGUGCUCUUGCAGCUGAGGUCAGGAGGUGAAGAAACAGACCAGGCCUGCCUUGCCCGGCUGGCUCAGUUCAUAGGCGGCUGGACCAGUCUGGAUCCAGAGCAAGUGCCUGACCUGUCCUCUGUGCCCUUGCCUGGGCACCUUCCUCCCGCAUCUGGUGGCCCCACGUGCAGCCAGCAGCCCCAUCCUGCUGCAGAUUCCACUCAGUUGGUCAAGAAUGAGCACGGGCCUGACGCUGCUGGCUGGGUCUGGCCACCAGGAGUUGGCGCCUGACACCCCUACCCAAUGCUCUUCCCAAACAGCGAAGCUCUGGGGGCUGGAGGGAAGCGUCCUGAGACCCAGGCCCGGGAUGGGCAGGCAUGGGCAGGGCUGGGCUGCCACUCAGGCCAGGUGAUGUGCUCUCCACUGUUCUGGUCACUGUUCUGGUUUCUCCUUUCUUCUGCUACCUACUCAUCCCUAAGAAAUGAGACUACUUUUACCUGUUUGGGGAGUUUACGUCAUCAUUCUGCUGUCCUGUAUACUGCAAGUACACUGUAUCAAGAUUCACUCAGACAUUCUGCUGCUGACAGACAUUUGGGCUGUCUCAGUGCCUGAGAUAUGCCCCUCUGUGGAGUAUAUUCCUUGGGAGUGGACACACCCUCAGCAGUGCAUGCUCACCAAACUGUUCCCUGAAAGGCUCUCAGGUGUUUGCAGCUCCACGUCCUCACCUGCCCCGGGUGCUAUUUGUCUGUUGUACUUUCUGCCAGCCCAGGGGGCAGUGAGGGGCCUCCAGUUAUGACAAGGUGGAGGCCAUGUGCACCUCCUCUCUCAAGGAGGCCUCUUUGGACCUGAGGGCUUGCCACAGCCCCUGACCUAACCGCACCCUCCACUCGGUCCAUGUCACCGAAGGGUGAUCCUACUGCACGGCAAGGCUGUCAGGCAGAGCACUGCAAAGUUCUGCGUAGAAGAGCAACACUCCAAGAGACAGCCUGCUGUCCCUCUGACUAGAUUUAGAAGCAGAGCCAACCACAUCAACAGCAACAGCAGGGAUGGAGUCACCGUUCCAGUGACAGAGUGUGCUUAUGCCAAAAGCAGUGCAAGCACACAGCCACACAUACACAUGGCACAGAUAUAAACACAUGCAAGUACACACACACACAGCCACACAUAUAGCACAGACGUAAACACAUGCAAGUGCACGCACACACAGCCACACAUAUAGCAUAGAUGUAAACACAUGCAAGUGCACGUACACACAGCCACACAUAUAGCACAGAUAUAAACGCAUUCAAGUGCAUGCACACACAGCCACACAUAUAGCACAGAUGUAAAUGCAUGCAAGUGCAUGUACAUACAGCCAAACAGCACACAUGUAAACACAUGCAAGUGCAUGUACACACAGCCACACAUACACACAGCACACACAAGUGGACCCACACGUGUUUGUCUCCUUAUCAGGAAUAAAGUUACUGGAAGAGAUUUCACACCUGUCAGCUGCAAGAUGGGAGAUACCCAGAAAGCACAGGGAUCACCUAAGUCCCCAAGGACCCUGUGCCUGUCAGGGGGCUCUGGACCCCAGGGAAGGGUCAUGGGAACCAAAGCCUAGAGAUAUGUUGCACUUUUUGUUUUUCAUAAUAAGCAGCAGAUACCAGUCUUAAAUGCUGUGACUGCUCCAAGUCACACGUACAGGUUUGGCUGAGUCCCUGGGUGACUUAAUCUGAUGUGAAGAUGCAGGCUGCUGGUGACAUUCUCCUGCUGGCUCAGCAGACACUAAGGAGCAGCCACUCUCAGCCCAGCCUAGCACCCACAGUGUGACCUAGACAAGCUCUUAGCCUUUCCCCCUCCUCUGUGACAUGAUGCUUUCCCCCUCCUCUGUGACAUGGGCAGCUGUCAAAAUUAAAGGAUCAUUCCUGGAAAGCACACAGCAGAGACCCCCACCUGGCAGUGUUCAACAAACGUGAGCUUGGCUGCUAUACCUCAGGCGCCUGCUCAUUUUUAUCCCCACAUGGGCACCGUGAGAACUAAGGUGACACAUGAGGGGGCGGGCCCCAGGCAGGGGCACCAGGCACCUGGCGGGUGCAUCCCAGACACUGCUGAAGGCUACAUAGACCUGCCCCGAGUGAUUUCUAAACCCCAAAGGACUGUUGCACUAAGAGGAAGAGACAUAGUCUUUCCACAUCACAGAACAGGUCUUCAAAGAAUGCGGCACGCAGGAUUUUAUUCUCUAAAGCAAACUGUGUGCUCUGAAGUGAACCAGGCAACAGCUUCUAGGUAAGCAACGACCAUGCUCCAGGACAGGCACAUAUCACUCCAGCCGGUACUGGGCCGUGGAGAGGCUGCAGGGAGCCGAAGAAGGAACAGGGAACCUGUAACGUGGAGUGCCGGCCGGGUUCCAGGCAGAUGUGAUGCCAGACUGCCCUGAGAGCAUUUGGAACUGGACAUGACGGAGCAGCUUUCCCAGGUUGUCCUCAUUAAGGAAGGAUUAACAGUGGCUACAGUCUGUCCCCUGAAGACGGAGCUGGGAAAGGUUUGUGGACGGUCAGGAAACAUCAGGGUGUUGACUGAGCGGCCAAAUACAUCACUACUGCCGGGUUUUCAUCGCAGGGCAGGGAUGUGGAGAGGCUGAUCUGGCAGAAUACAAUGAACGUUUCACAGCA